UUGAGGGUUCCCGGCGCCUACAGCAGCUAGGGCCAGAGCCGCCGGGGCUAGGAGCACUCAGCGGGGAUCCGGCGUGACCUUCGGAGAACCAGCCGGACCCGCCCAUUUCGGCUGCCCGUGUCGAUUCGGGGUCAGGGGAAGCCACUGGCCGGCGGCGUGAACCCGAGGGACGCAGGAUGCGCUCCAAACACAGGGCCCCUGCAGGACGAAGCUGUUGAAGACUGUGGAGGUCGCUGACACCUUACAAAGGUUGUUCUCACCAUGAAUUCUCUUCCUGUGAUGUGUCCCAUCCUCAGAGCAGAGAUUGCCUUCCUGGAAGAAGCCACAGUGUUGUCUGAGGAGCUCAAGUUCACAAUCCAGAGAGUUAUAGAAUGAGAUGAAGCAGUACUAAUGAGCUUCCAUAGAAGGCAUCAGAAUUUUCUUACUGAACCAAAGAAGACUUGUCUGUCAGCAUAAGUCAGCAAAGGACCUCCAUGGCAGCUGCAAGCAAGAUGGAAACUCUGAACUGGGAGCUCUCUGGCCCCCCAAGCUACUGUCCAAGCCCCUGAGGAAGUGAUGUGGACAGCAAGUGACCUGAGAAAGAGAAGACGAGGACAGUGCAGACCACGUGGAAAACCAGAGGAGCCUUUCUGGAGGAGGAGGCUUGGGGUGAUAAGCGAGGCUUGGCUUGAUGAAUAUAAGCUGGUGAAGGUCCACUUCUCUUCAUGAGGCAUUCGUAAGAUGGGAUCGGAAGUUCCACUUCCUGGAAUUUCAACUCUGCCUAUUUCAGCAUCUCGAAAAUUCCUAAAAACUUUUCAUCCUUGUGGGGUUCUGGGCUGGAUGGUUUCUGGGAACAGGACACCAGGAGACUGGGCUCACAGGAGACAUAUUGGGCUCCCUCCUCUGGGGUGCUUUCUUUUGAUGUUAUGGUUAAUUAUACACAGGCCUGGGCUUCCUUGGUGGCUCAACCAGUAAAGAAUCUGCCUGCAGUGCAGGAGACCUGGCUUCAAUCCCUGGG